rnacentral:rRNA from 1 species
UAGGGAAUCUUCGGCAAUGGGGGGAACCCUGACCGAGCAACGCCGCGUGAGUGAAGAAGGUUUUCGGAUCGUAAAGCUCUGUUGUUAAGGAAGAACGAGUGUGAGAAUGGAAAGUUCAUACUGUGACGGUACUUAACCAGAAAGGGACGGCUAACUACGUGCCAGCAGCCGCGGUAAUACGUAGGUCCCGAGCGUUGUCCGGAUGUAUUGGGCGUAAAGCGAGCGCAGGCGGUUAGAAAAGUCUGAAGUGAAAGGCAGUGGCUCAACCAUUGUAGGCUUUGGAAACUGUUUAACUUGAGUGCAGAAGGGGAGAGUGGAAUUCCAUGUGUAGCGGUGAAAUGCGUAGAUAUAUGGAGGAACACCGGUGGCGAAAGCGGCUCUCUGGUCUGUAACUGACGCUGAGGCUCGAAAGCGUGGGGAGCGAACAGG